AGUUAAAAAGUUUCAUCAUUAGCCCCAGACACUUCCUGUGCGUCAGAUCAGAUGCUGAACCAUAGAUUUACCUCUGUGGUUAUGGUUUGUACUGAAAGCCACUUUCUACAAACAGUGUGCCGUCACUAUAUCAAACACACGGCUUCAGAAAGAGCCUCUUCCUCGGCAGAACGGGGAAUUCUGUGACCUAGUCAUGCAGGGUGACAUUCAGAAGUGCUGCUUGCUACUUGUUUCCUAAAGAAACAAAGGACAGCAAGGGCACAGGAUCCCGACUGUCUCCCAAAUCCAUCUCCAAAUGAGGAGCGACUCCUUGGGAAUGGCGGCUCUGUACGGCGGUGACAGCGGCGGGCUCUCCCGGGGAGCAGUGUGCUGGGAACCUGUCUGCGGAGGAGUCUCUGGUCCUCAGGGACACAGCACACCGAGGGGAGGAGGGCCGCCUGACCCUUCACGGAGGUCCAGGGUGACAGAUACCUGGAUGACACCCCGGCCACCGAGGUCCGGAGUGACAGUUACCUAGAUGACACCAUGGACACCGAGGAAUGCCUGUGUCAGGAGAGACCACUCCCUAAGGCCGGUCAAAUGAACACCUGCUGUGAAAGCCCAGGCCAGGGGGCGGGGCCUGUCAUGCGGCUCCGCCCCCGGCGUUUCAGGGCGGUCCUGCCUUGGCACUCGGCCACCCGCCCCAGCUGGUCCCACGUGGGCUUUGCGGCUGGGCACUGCGGGCAACGGGGAUGGAAAGGCUGUGUGAACGCACAUUAGAUAGAACUGUCGUCUACAAGUGGCCUCGGGGCCAGCGCCCAGAUUUUCGAUUUCCUAAAACCAGAAAGGAAUUAGAGUGGAGUAGUAAAAAGACGGGGCUCUGGAAUUAGACCAAUUUCCUUACGUUUUUUUGUUACUGAACUUUCCAGUCUGUUUCUCCAUUCAUACUACCAGGGUGUAAGUCUUCUCUCCCGGCGGGGGAUGGAGGGGACAUUCAGUGUCACCUGUCGGGGCUUCAAGCUCAGUUCUUGCUUGGACUAGUUUUUGGUACUAAUACCCGACAGAUUGAUCACAGAAUAACUUACCUAAGUUCAACUUCAAAGUGGUGAUUUUUUCCUAUUUAAAACAUAGCAGUUUUCCUUUCAAAUCAAAAUACUACUUUGAGGCUCCCGUGAAAUGCCUUCUGUUAGAAUUUAGAAGAGAUUUACAAGGAGCCAUUAUUUCCAAAAGGUAGCUUUAAAUAAAGCUUUUUAGAAAAAUUGAAUUAGGACAUUGCAGUGAGUCUCUAAAGUUUCCUCAUGAGGGGCAAAUCUUUAAGGGACGUGUUCCACACUGUCCCUCCCAGAUUCAGCUGAGGCGGGAGAAUGGCACGUGGGGUAAGUUCACGGUGAGACCACAGGCACACCUUGCUCUACUGCACUUCUCAGAUGCUGUGUGUUCCACAAGCUGAAUGCAAGACCCUCCUCCAGCAACAAGAUUCCACCCUGCUUUCUUGGGGUGGCCUGGGACCCGACCCGCAAUGCCUCGAGGUCUGCCUGCACACCGUAAUCAGCAAUUCAUGCACCUCAGCGCCCCAUGCUUCAGCUAGUCAGAUUGCACCCCCAUCCCCAGCUAUCCCCUUGGCAGGCAGUCGUGAGAGGGAAUCCAAUAAAACUCAACAGUCUCCAGCAUUCUACUGAGUUUAGCAAUCGUGGGCUUACCCCCCAGUGCAGGAGACUGCAGUCAGAGCUUCUACUCAGAGCUGCUGGGAUCUUUCAGCUGUUAGCACUGGCCACUAAAGCUUUCCCCUCAUUGUUCCACACAUGACUGCUGUAUUCGAGACGACCGCUUAUGUGUGCACAUCUUCCUGCCGGUCUGGUAAAUGAGCUUUUCUUGACUUUUCAAUCUGUCAAUCAUUCUCUUAAAAGCCUGUAAAACUAUAUUCCCUUAUAGAGAACGUGUCUUCCGCCGAGAGCCCACUUCCUUCCCGCUUCUGCACAUCACCUCAUUAUGGUCCCAAUCCAAUUUUCUAGGUUCAUCGUCCUAAGAAAAAAGCGGUUCUUAAACUUCAGCAUCAUGCACCAGAAUCACCCAGGAAGUUUGUCCAAACUCCAAUGUCACAUUUCUAACGCGUUUCCAGGUGACGCUGGUAUUACUGCUGCUCUGGGAGAGAACUUUUCACUGAUUUUCUCCAAAACAGGUCAAUACCACCGUGGGUAUAUUUUCAUAUACUUGAACACUUUAAUGUUUUCUAGGUAAGUAUAUGGUGUUUCUCAAGUGAGAUAGAAUCUUGGAGAAGAGUGUGUCUGCAGUUGAGUACGUAUGUAGUAGGCACACGAAUGUGUCUAAGUUCUGAUCAACCAUGGCCUUUUAGACAGAUUGGCUAUUAUUUAAGUGACUAAUAAAUGAGAAGAAGGAAUAGGACAGCUGCUUAAGUAUUUGGCCCCUUUGGCCAUGGUUGUCAUCCAUGCACAAUCAUAAGGGAACGGAAGCAAAGCCCCUGAGGUCUCACUCUGGCCUGCAAGCAAUGGAGGUCAACACGCUGGCCAGUUAGGUCUCCCUGGCCCAUUAGUGCAGGUUCUCGUGUAAGUUCUGGCUUUAUGAGCUCAGUUCUACCUACCUACUUGCCUGUUUACCUUUAACUCAGUUUUACCUAUAUACCUGCCUACUUCCACAUGCGUGUGUGCACACGCACACAUGAUCUAGAUCUUGAAGCAUCACUACUACCUGUUACUGUUACCUAUGUCAAAACAAAUAGAAACAAUGACCAGUCUGUCCUUCACAUAUUCUUAUACAGUACCCAGUGGACAUUCAUAAAUACGGAGACUAGCUGGACGCUCGUCAUUCCUUCUGACGCAGCCUAGACAAGUGGCAAAGGCUCCUGCGGCCGAACGCGGAGACCUUUCACGAAGAUGCUCGGUGGACAGCACAAAGGGGCAAGCGGUCAUCUGUGGGGCCCUGAGCGGCCAAAGGCCGGCGCGGGAAGGACGGACGACCGCGAGCUGCCGAGGGCCGCAGUCUGGUUUACAGUGGCCCUUAACAGUCCUUGAAAAACCACUUUCCUGCCGCAGCCAAGUCCUGGCUACUCAUUGCAGACCGCCAGGAGCUGCGGUCACCAGAACGGCCUUCCACGGCGCGAGCCCCGAGCGCGCCCGCGUGAUGAGCCCGAGGAAGGCAGCGGGAGCGAGGACGACGGCCUGGCGGCCACCGGGAAGGCUGCCCACGGUCUUAGAGCCUGUCCUUGCCACGUCCCCCGUCCCCCGGCAAGCUCGCUCCAGCUCCGACCCCGAGCCGCGGCACCGCUGCCUGCGAGGAGCUCUGUGCGGGCGCUCGGCUGCUCCCCGCUGCCCGAGAUGGGGUGGACCGGACCCCCUGAGAGAUGGGCGGACCGGACCCCCGGGAGAUGGGUGGACCGGACCCCGGGAGAUGGGCGGACCGGACCGCCCACUGAGAGGCGGUGGACUGAGCCACUCCCUUGCCGUCACCCCAAUCUCUUCGCGCCCCUUACGCGCUUACCACACUGCACCGCAGCUUGUCUGUUUACUUGUCCCCCACUCCAGACUGCGAGUUCCUUGAAGAAGGGACAGGCUCCCUUCGUCUCGUGACCCUGGGCUGCACCUGGCCAGUGGGUGACCGACUCGGGGUUCAGAGAACAGGCGGGCUGGGCGGGGCGGCGCCGCCCCUGGCACGCGUGUGGCUUCCCGCCUGCGCUCCCCUGCCAGCUCGGAAGUCGCCUGCUCCUGAGGCUGCAGGCGCUGACCUCCGCGGACACCCAGACCUCCCGGGGCGAUGACACGCCUCUCUGCCUCCAUGACACGUGACGCACGCCCGGCUCCGGCUCCCCGGGGCCCCGGCCGCCUGCUGCUGGCAGAGGCCGGCUGUCCCUGCGCGGGUUCCCUCGGUCCUCUUUAGCGGCUCCUACGCCGCCGUGGGAGGACAUGAACACCGCGUAAGGUUUCCUAGGCAGCCCAGCUCCGGGGCCUGCCCUCAUCUUGUGGCCCCUGCCUUCCACAGUUAACGUGGUCCCCUGGCCCUACCGUGAGAAAACGCCCCACGCAGUAACAUGCCAGCCUGGUCUGACUGCUCACGCCCUUCUGGUGUUCCCGACCCGGCUCCUGUCCCACACCGAGCCGCUCGCCUUUUCAAGAACGUGAACCUUCUCUUAGUAGUUGCUCUUCUCCGUCAUGAAGAAAUGUGCAAGAAAAGUUUAAGUUCCUACGUCAGUCCUCCUCGGAAUGAGAAAGGAGGAGAACCACAUCCAGCAUCGCAUCUCUUGGGAGGGAAACUCCCAAGGUGAAAGGCAUCAGGGAACCCUUAGAACGGGAACUGGAACUGGUUGUUCCUGGGAAUAACGGAAAAGGUGACACUACCAACCAGGUUUUCACUAAUAUCCUUGAUAAGACCGUUUUUUCCCUCGAAUUGGUAUUGUAAGAAAACAACCGAAGGGGUCAGUAAAGAUUGAAACCAACGACUUUCACACCUAAGCUGUCAUCGCUCCCUCACGCUGGGUUCUGGACCAGAGAUCUGGAAAAACGUCUAAGUGGUGAAGCAAUUUUUAUAUUUUCCAGUAUUUCUUCUUUUUUUUUUAAAUCUUUGCUCACUAAUCAUUUGUGGUUUUUAUGUUUUAAUUCGAAACUUUUCCCUUUGGAGGGCAGGAAUUCCCACAGUUCCCAUUUAGGGACCAGCAGCUCUCAUCAUAACGUGCUUUUUUCCUUUUGCAAAACAAUUUAAGAAAACGUUAUGAUUGUUAUGCACCAAAUUUAAUAAUAUUCAAAUCUUUUCAGUAAGUUAAUUCUCAAAUAAAUUUAUUAAGGGUUUAUUGCAUAAUCGAAAGAAAAUGUUGAUGCAUUCCUUUUGAAAGAGGCCAAUUUCGCCCAAUAAAUGAAGCUGCACUGAAAUUUUCCCAUAAUUCUGGGCACUUUAAAACUAAUCAGAUUAAUCCUGAUAAAGGCGCCAGAAAAUAUAUUACUGGUUUCCACAUGUAUCUUUUUAGCCUCUAAUAUUUUCCAAGAAAAAAACUGUUCGAUUUCAUAUUCAUUCGCAGGAAAAGGUUUUCUGAGUGGGUCCAACUACUAACUGUAAAAGAAAAAUGUAAAAAUGGCUGAAACCGAGCAGUGUAAAGCAUUCUGGUUUUGAUGUCAUUUAAUGCACCUUAGUCCACAUGUAGUCAAGUUUUACAUAUUUUGUUUAAGCCAAAAUUUUGGCUCAAUAGAAACAAUUCUAUCUUGUAUUUUAAAAACGCCAAUUCUCUACCAUGCUCAGUUGUAUAAAAUGGCAAAAUAUUCCUCCA